rnacentral:rRNA from 1 species
UACGGAGGGGGCAAGCGUUGUUCGGAAUUACUGGGCGUAAAGGGCGCGCAGGCGGCUGCUCAAGUCAGGCGUGAAAGGCCUGGGCUCAACCCGGGAAUUGCGCUUGAGACUGGGCUGGCUUGAGUGCGGGAGAGGAUGGUGGAAUUCCCAGUGUAGAGGUGAAAUUCGUAGAUAUUGGGAAGAACACCGGUGGCGAAGGCGGCCAUCUGGACCGCAACUGACGCUGAGGCGCGCAAGCGUGGGGAGCAAACAGG